UUUGGAAUACUUUGGUUUUUAUAAAACUCUGCUGCCAAACUAGGCCUUCCACUUUCAGUGUAGUGUCAAAAACGUUCUUAUAUUGUGGGACGGAGGGAGUACAACAUAAGUUCAACACAACAACCAUAAGCUAAGCCCAUUGCUGAAAACAUGGGAAUGCUCAUUAAACCAAAUGUACCAGCACCAAACUACAGAUAAUGAGUUAUAUAAACCUAUUUCCAGAAACAUAAUAUGGGAUAAUUACAUUUUUUAAUUUACAGUUGAAGAUCCCUACACAUACUCCACGAUAUGUGCAAUGCACUGAUUGGGAUGAAAACCUGCAGAUUCAGAUGUAGAAUAGUUUUUGUUUAGCCGAGCAAUGAUAUAGGUCAGUUGACAACUCUCCUUUUGAUAAAUUUAAAGAAAGCUUCGCUUCAGCAACUAAUACCUCAGAUGGCUUCAAGAACUUACACUUCCCAUAAGUUAAUUGCAUGAAUUCAGUGGAAUUCUUUGGGCUUGCUUCUCGAGGUUUUUCCACAUUUCAUCUGCAGAUGUAAAACAUGGUAAGAAACUCGAAUAAUCUUAUCAGCUAAUGAAGAUAAUCAAUGAAAGGGGCCACUUAGGUCAUGGAUAUUUGAGAAUACACAGGAAACAAAAAGCAUAUCCAUUAUUGUGUGGUAAAUACAAAUAUUCUAAACAUCAUACCUGAUUCUGAUGCUAAAUUUAGUAAGAGCACUUCAAAAAAAAAAGAUUGUAAUAAGGAGUAAAGAAUAUAUUAUUCUCUUCGUUCUUCCUUGAAAUAUUAAACAAGCUCUCAUUAACUAAUUGGCAUAAUCCCAAUUGUAAGAACACUAAAAAGCUACUCCAUCCCCAAAAUGAAUGGCGCUUUUGGCUUCUCAAUCUUCAGUGUAUUUUUUUGAAAGGAGGCAAAAGAUUUGCCUCAUAUAUUAAAUAAGGUAGAAGAGAGUUUGAUACAACACACAUGUUACGGCAUGCCAAUUAUUCUCGCAAUAAAAAAGACCCUAGUUUCUUUGCCCCGACGUUGAUCCAAAGGUUUGCUUCGUCCACGAUUAAGUUGAGCAAGAUUGGCGGGGGCGCGCUCUUAUGACGAAACACGUGCAUUUCGCUCGUUCCAGAUGACCCACGACACAAGCAUGGUGAUCGAAGCCUUGGCUUUUCGGUCAGCGGUGCCCCUGGCGCUGAUGCCGGCCCACCACACCUCCACGGAGUCAAACAAGUGUCAUGAAGUGUCCAUAUCGUGCAUGCGAAAUUUGUGGAUGACCAGUCUUCACAACCUGAGAGUGAAAUGACACUGGAAGAAAAGGUGAGUACCACAUUCCUGCACACCCCUGCACAGGGGGCAAGAACCGCAAUUUGGCCAGCCCCGUCUCUCCAGUCUGUCGGUCAGUCUGUCGGCCGUCCAGAUCCUAUCUUGGAGCGCUAGCCAAGCGAAGAACUUGACCUUCGGAGGGGCCCAAGUCUUCCAAACAAUUCAGUCCAUAGGGGAGAGGACCAUUCCUAGAAACUGCGCCUUAUAGGCAGAGGUCGCGCAGUAAAGACCCGAGACUAUGUGCUUCAAAAGGAUGUCAUCCUCCAUGAGCAAAUCGAGAUGUACCUCAUGCACAAGCAUCCAAAGGGUGAAGAACUGAAUAACAUGCUCGGUGGUGACCAUUGUGGGCGGUUUGAUCAUGAGGAUCCAUGCGUUCUCCUUCAGUGCCUCCCGCACUUUCCAAUGCUUCCGCGCGGACGCCUCAUAGAUGAGCGGAGCAAUGUCUUUGGGUUUGCGUCCGAGCAGCCAGGGAGAGUCCCAAAAUGGUCUUUGCACCAUUCCCGACCGUGAUGAUGGUGCAACCAUAGAAGAAAUUAAGAUCAUCAUCAUCACACGGGUUGCCACGCCCUACCCACAGCUCUGUGGGCUCCUUCCAUUCGUACCAAGGCCACCACAAACGCGAGGCCCGAGCGAACUUGUCAGUGUUAAGGACCCCCAGCCCACCAUAGGCGAGUGGCCGGCUGACGAUGUCCCAGUUGACCUUGCAUUUCGCUCCGGUAGUCUUAUCCGAGCCAGACCAAAGGAAGGCUCUUUCGAGUUUGUCAAUACUUUGGAGAAUGGAGGUUUGGAUUAUCAAUGGCGUGAUGAAGUAGACCACUUGGGAGGCCAGGACCGACUUGACCAGAGCAGCACGCCCAAUGGUGGUGAUGUUUUGGCCGUCAUAUGUUGUCAAUCUGCUUGCCACUUUAUCCACAAGAAAUUGCAGGUCAACGAGCUUUAACUUCCACACGGAGAGUGGAAGCCCCAAAUAGCGCAUCGGAAAUGAAGUCCGAACAGCCGGCAGCCCCUGGGUGAUGCGUCCCAAGUCCAGAUUAUCGCAGCGAAUGGGAACCAUGGAGCUCUUAUGGAAGUUAGUGCACAGCCCGGUGACCUCACCAAAACCCCGCAAGAUGGCAGCGAGGUUAUCCACAUCUCUUUUGAUCGGAGCAAUAAACACCGCCGCUUCAUCCGCAUAGAGAAAAGUGCGCACCAUGACCCCUCUGCCCCGAAUUUUAUGAAGCAGCCCCUUCCUUGUUGCCACGUCCAGAAUAUGCUUCAGAGGGUCAAUUGCAAUGACAAAAAGGAGGGGGGAGAGGGGGUCCCCUUGGCGUAGACCCAUGCCAUGCUUGAUGGGGUCACCCGCCACCCCAUUGAGGAGGAUCCUCGAAGAUCAGGAAUAGAGGAGAGCAGCAAUCCACUCCCGGAAUUUGUUAGGGAAGUCUUCAAUGUAUGACUUUGAUUGCAAAUAGUAUGUCUACAAAAUUAGUAUAAAGCCAUGGUAUUUUGCAAGAUAAAUACAAGAUACCAUUCGUAUCCGCUUAAUCCAUACUUUGGUGCAUAUUAGUGGUCAAAGUAGUGCAUCAAAGACCGCGAACAGUCAAGUAUGCCUUACAUUUUGGAGGGGGUAACUUAGGUGUGGCAAGUUGUGGCAUGCAACCACGCAUGCCCAAAGUAACAUGCAACCACAAAUAAGUACUGCGUCCAUUUCAAGAUAUCUGUUUUCAGCCUACCAUGCGCACAGGUCAAGAAAAGAAUUCAUCAAAACUGAUUGUGCAUUUAUGCAUACCUUGGUGAAAUGAUAUGCUGCGACAAUUUAACAUCUACCAGUACAAUUUUCAUACAAAUCCAAAUGGUAGUGUGUAUUAGUGGCCAGAGUUUUUAAAAUUUUGACUGCACAUUCCAAGGCAAGAUCUAUUGACAACAGAGGUAAUAUUGUUAGGAAAGCAAUUUAUCUUUAUUGAAGGCCCAACGAGCAUAUAUAUAUUGCACAAGCCUUGAGGUGUAAGGAAAGUAAACAUAGACUAAUAAGGACUCCUAGACUAAUACUAAUACUUCCCCCGUGAAAACCGACACAUCAAGAGAAGAUGGGUUGUCAAAAGAUGACACAUCAAGAGAAUGAAGCAUUGCUUAAAGAAUCAUGGCCCGUGAAAACCGACGACAAAAAAAGCUCGGUGGCAAGAGAAUGGGCUUAGAUCAACAAUGCAAAGAGAGGCCACAAAAAUCCUAUUGAGAGGACAAUGACCAGAAAAAAGGCUGACGGACAAAAAUUUGAUGGACUCACAAAAAACAACUAGAAAGUGCAACACUGGACAAUGACAUGAGAAACACAAAAUAUCAACGGACUUAUUGGACGCAGCGGAAAAUAUAGAAAACUAGAAAACAACUAGCGAGAAGAGCAUGCAACACCAGACAAAGGUGCAUAAGCAUGCAACACUGGACAAAGGACGAAACAACCACAUUGGAUUUUUUUAAGCUAGCCGCUAACGGGAAGGACUAAUGGUAAUUAAGAGAACAGCAAACAGAGAUGUGGUUCAUUGUUUAGCAGCAACCAGCGCAGACAUGCAUGCAGC
rnacentral:lncRNA from 1 species